rnacentral:lncRNA from 1 species
AGUGCCGGCGACACCUUUUUAGGUACCUGCUGACCUUUGAAUAAAAAGAAAUUCAAUCCUGCCUGCAUUUUAUACACUUGCUGGGCAAGAAGUCGGAAUUGCCCAUCCUUGCCAAAGGUCUCAUUGGAGGGGCCGUAACUAUUAGUGCGACGACAUUAUGCAACAUGUUUUUAAUGAUUGUGAAAGCGGAUGUGGAGGAGAACAAGUGAACAAAGUUUAAGAAAUUUGAAAAAUGGGUUUUUUUUUAAUUGUCGUCAGAAGCCCCAACUGUCCG